AUUGAACGCUGGCGGCAGGCCUAACACUUGCAAGUCGCGCGAGUGGCGGACGGGUGAGUAAGGUAUUGGGACUGUUCGCUUGAGGGGGAUUACUACUGGCAACGGUGGCUAAUACUGCAUACUAUCGGUUAACCCAUAUGGGUUUAGUUAGUAGGUGGGGUAAAGGAUCACCUAGUCGCCGAUCUCGAGCUGGUCUGAGAGGAUGAUCGGCCACACUGGGACUGAGAAACGGCCCGGACGCCUAAGGAGGCAGCAGUGAGGAAUAUUGGACAAUGGACGCAAGCCUGAUGAAGCAGAGCGGCGUGUCUGAAGAAGGACUUAGGGUUGUAAAGUACUUUCAGCGGAGAAGCGUUACCCGCAGAAGAAGCGCCGGCUAACUCCGAGCCAGCGGCCGCGGUAAUAC
rnacentral:rRNA from 1 species